rnacentral:snRNA from 1 species
GGAUGUGAGUAAUCUGGCUUUGUUGUCUGUGACCCUACUGAUCACCAGAGGUGAUUCAGCUGAUGUGGCUGGCUGGGUAGGUCCCCCCUUCCUCCCUGUACAAGCUGUAAGUGUGGACAGGUCUUCCAAUGAGGGUAUAGGAGUAGCUUCACUCCCCUGCUAGAACCUCCAAACAAGCUCUCAAGGAGGAUCGGAUACCACUAGAAGUAUUCAGAUCAUAGUGAAGCUAAGUAUACUAACACAGAUAUUUAGCCUCCCCCAACUAACCUGGCUAUAAU